rnacentral:ncRNA from 2 species
CUGUGUUCCGAGGGGAGCCCCGCUGCCAAUAAGGGCGUGAAGGGCUGAGAGUCUGCAAGCAGCGAUCACGAGUGGUUUCACAAGCGAUCUGACCGCAUAACAGUGACCCUUAGAACCUGAUCUGGCUAACACCAGCGAAGGAACGGAGCUUAUUAUGCCU